rnacentral:rRNA from 1 species
GACGAACGCUGGCGGUGUGCUUCACACAUGCAAGUCGAACGAGGUAGCAAUACCUAGUGGCGGACGGGUGAGUAACGCGUGGGAAUCUGCCUUUAGAUGGGGGAUAACGGGUCGAAAGACUCGCUAAUACCGCAUAUGACGAAAGUUGAAAGGAGUAAUCCGUCUAAAGAUGAGCCCGCGUCCGAUUAGCUAGUUGGUAGAGUAAAAGCCUACCAAGGCGACGAUCGGUAGCUGGUCUGAGAGGAUGAUCAGCCACAAUAGGGACUGAGACACGGCCCAUACUCCUACGGGAGGCAGCAGUGGGGAAUUUUACGCAAUGGGCGAAAGCCUGACGUAGCGACACCGCGUGAGCGAAGAAGCCCCCUUUGGGGUGUAAAGCUCUGUCAGCUGGAACGAAAAAAAAUGACGGUACCAGCAGAGGAAGCAUCGGCUAACUACGUGCCAGCA